rnacentral:rRNA from 1 species
GGCCAGACUCCUACGGGAGGCAGCAGUGAGGAAUAUUGGUCAAUGGGAGAGAUCCUGAACCAGCCAAGCCGCGUGAGGGAAGACGGCCCUAUGGGUUGUAAACCUCUUUUGUCGGAGAACAAAACCCGGGACGUGUCCCGGACUGCGUGUAUCCGAAGAAAAAGCAUCGGCUAACUCCGUGCCAGCAGCCGCGGUAAUACGGAGGAUGCGAGCGUUAUCCGGAUUUAUUGGGUUUAAAGGGUGCGUAGGCGGCCUGAUAAGUUAGAGGUGAAAUGUCCGGGCUCAACUCGGGAACUGCCUCUAAUACUGUUGAUCUAGAGAUUAGAUGCGGUAGGCGGAAUGUAUGGUGUAGCGGUGAAAUGCUUAGAGAUCAUACAGAACACCGAUUGCGAAGGCAGCUUACCAAUCUAUAUCUGACGUUGAGGCACGAAAGCGUGGGGAGCAAACAGGAUUAGAUACCCCGGUAAA